UAGAAAAAAAAACAUUCUAAACACAAAGCUAGAAUGCAUAGGCAAGUGGUGGUGUGGUUCUUUACUUUGAUUCUCAUAUUGUGUUUUGCAUUGAGGACGAGUUCGGGCCAAACACAAGAGUAUCCAAUUACAAAAUUAGGGCAAAGAAAUCCCAAACAACGGUUCAUCGACGCCGCCAUUGCUACACCGCCAAGCAUUUCAGAUCACGCCAAAGGCCAAAAUUUUGUCGCCGGCAGUGGCACCAUCUCUAGCCCAACGCCAAUAAAUAGCCCUUUGCAUCAUACCAACGGAUCUUUCAUGUUAUUUUGAUUUCUUAAUCGAAUGUAUAAAUUAUCUAUGCUAAGUUAUAUGCGAUAUACUAUUUUUCUUUUCGGUAUAAUGUAAUAGAAAAUCUAUUGCUGCUCCUCCAUUUUCAUGUUGUCAACAUUAUGGGAAAAUAUAUGUAUUGUUGUUACAUCCUCGAUAAGUAAAAUGGAAUUAUUGAUAAUUUAA